UGGGGAAUAUUGCACAAUGGGCGCAAGCCUGAUGCAGCCAUGCCGCGUGUGUGAAGAAGGCCUUCGGGUUGUAAAGCACUUUCAGCGGGGAGGAAGGGAGUAAAGUUAAUACCUUUGCUCAUUGACGUUACCCGCAGAAGAAGCACCGGCUAACUCCGUGCCAGCAGCCGCGGUAAUACGGAGGGUGCAAGCGUUAAUCGGAAUUACUGGGCGUAAAGCGCACGCAGGCGGUUUGUUAAGUCAGAUGUGAAAUCCCCGGGCUCAACCUGGGAAUUGCAUCUGAUACUGGUCAGCUAGAGUCUUGUAGAGGGGGGUAGAAUUCCAUGUGUAGCGGUGAAAUGCGUAGAGAUGUGGAGGAAUACCGGUGGCGAAGGCGGCCCCCUGGACAAAGACUGACGCUCAGGUGCGAAAGCGUGGGGAGCAAACAGG
rnacentral:rRNA from 1 species